rnacentral:tRNA from 2 species
GGCCUGUUGGUCUAGUGGUAUGAUCCUUGCUUCGGGUGCGAGGGGUCCCGGGUUCAAAUCCCGGACAGGCCC